AUUGAACGCUGGCGGCAUGCCUUACACAUGCAAGUCGAACGGUAACAGGUCUUCGGAUGCUGACGAGUGGCGCACGGGUGAGUAAUACAUCGGAACGUGCCCGAUCGUGGGGGAUAACGGAGCGAAAGCUUUGCUAAUACCGCAUACGAUCUACGGAUGAAAGCAGGGGACCGCAAGGCCUUGCGCGGACGGAGCGGCCGAUGGCAGAUUAGGUAGUUGGUGGGAUAAAAGCUUACCAAGCCGACGAUCUGUAGCUGGUCUGAGAGGACGACCAGCCACACUGGGACUGAGACACGGCCCAGACUCCUACGGGAGGCAGCAGUGGGGAAUUUUGGACAAAGGGCGAAAGCCUGAUCCAGCCAUGCCGCGUGCAGGAUGAAGGCCUUCGGGUUGUAAACUGCUUUUGUACGGAACGAAAAGACUCUUUCUAAUAAAGAGGGUCCAUGACGGUACCGUAAGAAUAAGCACCGGCUAACUACGUG
rnacentral:rRNA from 1 species